GACGUAGGGGGCAAGCGUUGUCCGGAUUUAUUGGGCGUAAAGAGCUCGUAGGUGGUUCGGUAAGUCGGAUGUGAAAUCUCCAGGCUCAACCUGGAGGGGUCAUUCGAUACUGCCGUGACUAGAGUUCGGUAGGGGAGUGUGGAAUUCCUGGUGGAGCGGUGAAAUGCGCAGAUAUCAGGAGGAACACCCGUAGCGAAGGCGGCACUCUGGGCCGAUACUGACACUGAGGAGCGAAAGCGUGGGGAGCGAACAGG
rnacentral:rRNA from 1 species